AAGCCUCAUUUAAGGGCUGGCUGGGAAAGAGCCCUACUUGGGGAUUCCUUCUUUUGGAGUGUUUAUUGAGCCCUGAUUUUUAGAGAAGGAUAACAGAGGAGAAACAGAAAACAGAAAAGUUUGUCAAAAGACAGUAGAAAUCCCAUUUCAGUUGGCACCCUGUUUCCAAGCAGCUUCUGAGGAAAACAGCUGCCAGACUUUUCAGUAGUCCAGCUUCUGGAUUCACUUUCAAGUGAGUUCCCAAGUGAAUGUGGCUUUUCAUAGAUGCUUAGAGGGAAGAUGCCAUGAGACCGCAUAGACACAGAACAGUAAUUCUUUAAAAAGGAAAAAAAAAAAGACUGGAAGGAGCCAUGUCCCUGUUUCACAGCAGUAUCAGAAGUAUCUCUAUCACACCUAAGGAAAUUUUUUCCAAGUGGUUCUUGGACAAGUCUUCCUUUUUCCAUACGGAGUCCAUUACGUUUGCUUCUAUUGCUGGUGGAGUUUUUUCUUCUGUCUCCAAAAUAUAUGUUAUUUAUUCUGGUAUUUUCAGGAAAUGGAAGCCGGGUUGAACACUCUAAUACUACUUCUUUGUGGAAAGCCAAAAUCAAAGAAAGCACUUUCUAUGUCUGACUGUGGGAUCUGAAAAUAAUGUCUCCUAAUGAUGUUUUUCAUUCCUGGAGAAAGGAAUUUCAUCAUCUCAGGCAGGCUGCUAGGAAAGACCAAGCUCCAUUCUACUGAAGAAAACACCAAGGACAGAGGAUGUUCAGUUGCUAAGAAACUGAGAGCAGCUUUGAGAGGUAAGGUGAUCUUUCCAGCAUUUUGGAUCCAGUUCUUCAGGAGUCUUAAAUACAAGAAGACUUUAAAUGUUCAGUUUUGUGCCAAUGGGGAUAACUGAAAAUGAGAAUGAUAUCUGUACUACAAUCAGUUUUUUGGUCAUCGCUGGUGAAAGUGAUGGUAAUGAUGAAGUGAAGGUAAUGAUGGUGACUCUGAUGAAAAAAAGCAUUUUGUAGCUGAGAAUUUGCUCUAUGAAAUAAUGUUUUUGUGCUCUUUGUAUCUGUUGCAGUUCCUGUGGAAAUAAACAGGAGAUAUUACUUUCGGAGCGACCAAUGUGGUAUAGUUCUUAUUUAAAAUAACUGCUCUUCAAUUGUUUUUAGCUAGAAGCAUGCAGUGAUGAUCAAUGUGUUACUUUGCCAAUCAUUUAAUAAACAUUCUCAACGUAAUCUUAAAUGAAUAAAUGACUACUGAAAUGGCUAGAGCAAAUGUCAUCAAUCAAUCUCAUAUACCCAAUAUGUAAGCUGUUUCAUUGGAGUAAAACAUAUGGUUGUAGU